rnacentral:rRNA from 1 species
CCUACGGGCGGCAGCAGUGGGGGAUAUUGCACAAUGGGGGAAACCCUGAUGCAGCGAUGCCGCGUGAAUGAAGACGGCCUUCGGGUUGUAAAGUUCUGUCGCAGGGGACGAAAAUGACUGUACCUGACUAAGAAGCCCCGGCUAACUACGUGCCAGCAGCCGCGGUAAUACGUAGGGGGCAAGCGUUAUCCGGAUUUACUGGGUGUAAAGGGAGCGUAGGCGGCGAUGCAAGUCAGAAGUGAAAGCCCGGGGCUCAACUCCGGGACUGCUUUUGAAACUGUAUGGCUAGAUUGCAGGAGAGGCAAGUGGAAUUCCUAGUGUAGCGGUGAAAUGCGUAGAUAUUAGGAGGAACACCAGUGGCGAAGGCGGCUUGCUGGACUGUAAAUGACGCUGAGGCUCGAAAGCGUGGGGAGCAAACAGGAUUAGAUACCCUAGUAGUC